rnacentral:rRNA from 1 species
UACGUAGGGUCCGAGCGUUGUCCGGAAUUAUUGGGCGUAAAGAGCUCGUAGGCGGUUUGUCGCGUCUGCUGUGAAAUCCCGAGGCUCAACCUCGGGCCUGCAGUGGGUACGGGCAGACUAGAGUGAUGUAGGGGAGACUGGAAUUCCUGGUGUAGCGGUGAAAUGCGCAGAUAUCAGGAGGAACACCGAUGGCGAAGGCAGGUCUCUGGGCAUUAACUGACGCUGAGGAGCGAAAGCAUGGGGAGCGAACAGG